rnacentral:rRNA from 1 species
UAGGGAAUAUUGGACAAUGGGGGCAACCCUGAUCCAGCCAUGCCGCGUGAGUGAAGAAGGCCCUCGGGUUGUAAAGCUCUUUUGUCCGGAAAGAAAAGCAUUCGGUGAAUACCCGGAUGUUCUGACGGUACCGGAAGAAUAAGCACCGGCUAACUUCGUACCAGCAGCCGCGGUAAUACGAAGGGUGCAAGCGUUACUCGGAAUUACUGGGCGUAAAGCGUGCGUAGGUGGUUGUUUAAGUCUGAUGUGAAAGCCCUGGGCUCAACCUGGGAAUGGCAUUGGAAACUGGGCAGCUAGAGUGCGGUAGAGGGUAGUGGAAUUCCCGGUGUAGCAGUGAAAUGCGUAGAGAUCGGGAGGAGCAUCUGUGGCGAAGGCGACUGCCUGGACCAGCACUGACACUGAGGCACGAAAGCGUGGGGAGCAAACA